CCUACGGGGAGCUGCAGUGGGGAAUAUUGGACAAUGGGCGAAAGCCUGAUCCAGCCAUGCCGCGUGUGUGAAGAAGGCCUUCGGGUUGUAAAGCACUUUCAGUGGGGAAGAAAGCCUUGGGGCUAAUACCCUCGAGGAAGGACAUCACCCACAGAAGAAGCACCGGCUAACUCCGUGCCAGCAGCCGCGGUAAUACGGAGGGUGCGAGCGUUAAUCGGAAUUACUGGGCGUAAAGCGCGCGUAGGCGGUCUGAUAAGCCGGUUGUGAAAGCCCCGGGCUCAACCUGGGAACGGCAUCCGGAACUGUCAGGCUAGAGUGCAGGAGAGGAAGGUAGAAUUCCCGGUGUAGCGGUGAAAUGCGUAGAGAUCGGGAGGAAUACCAGUGGUGAAGGCGGCCUUCUGGACAGACACUGACGCUGAGGUGCGAAAGCGUGGGUAGCAAACAGGAUUAGAUACCCGAGUAGUC
rnacentral:rRNA from 1 species